rnacentral:rRNA from 1 species
UACGUAGGCAGCGAGCGUUGUUCGGAGUUACUGGGCGUAAAGGGUGUGUAGGCGGUUGUUUAAGUUUGGUGUGAAAUCUCCCGGCUCAACUGGGAGGGUGCGCCGAAUACUGAAUGACUUGGAGUGCGGGAGAGGAAAGUGGAAUUCCUGGUGUAGCGGUGAAAUGCGUAGAUAUCAGGAGGAACACCGGUGGUGUAGACGGCUUUCUGGACCGUAACUGACGCUGAGACACGAAAGCGUGGGUAGCAAGCAGG